rnacentral:rRNA from 1 species
GACGAACGCUGGCGGCGUGCUUAACACAUGCAAGUCGAGCGGUAAGGCUCCUUCGGGAGUACACGAGCGGCGAACGGGUGAGUAACACGUGAGCAAUCUGCCCUUCACAUGGGAAUAACUUCGGGAACCGAAGCUAAUACCGAAUACGACCACCGAUGGCAUCUUCUGGUGGUGGAAAGUUCCGGCGGUGAAGGAUGAGCUCGCGGCCUAUCAGCUUGUUGGUGAGGUAAUGGCCCACCAAGGCGACGACGGGUAGCCGGCCUGAGAGGGUGGACCGGGCCACACUGGGACGUGAGACACGGCCCA